GACAUAGGUGGCGAACGUUAUCCGGAAUCAUUGGGCGUAAAGGGUGCGUAGAUGGUUAGAUAAGUUAGUGGUGGAAAAUCAGGGCUCAACCCUGUGGAAGUUGCUAAUACUGUCCAACUGGAAGACAGAAGAGGUUAACGGAAUUCCCUGUGGAGCGGUAAAAUGUUUAGAUAUAGGGAAGAACACCAAGAGGCGAAGGCAGUUAACUAUUCUGUGCUUGACAUUGAGGCACGAAAGCGUGGGGAACAAAAAGG
rnacentral:rRNA from 1 species